AGAGCCUGUGUGUGUUACAGCAGGGAAAAGCGCAGUCCAGCAGUGUUUAACAUCCUCCUAGUAACAUCAGAUAAAAGAAGCGAUCUGAUUGGUUGCUAUGGGCAACUCAGCAAUUUUUGGACACUAACAUAUAUUCAUCUAUCCUGACUUAUAAUGGAUCAGCAAACCGUGAUGUGACAAGCCGUGAUGUGACAAAUACCUUGUGUGCAUAGCAUAUUGUACAGGACUUUACAUUUAGGAAAGUGACACACAAGUAGAAUAUCAAAGUAAUAAUUCUUAACAGAUGAACAAGCUUUGAGUGAAGAGGAAAGAAAUUCCUGCCCAUAUUCGAGAUUCAGUAGGAUCAAGUCUAAUGAAUAUUUAUUGGAAAUCUGUUCAUACCUGGUUCUGAAAUCCAAAUCUGUGGCAUAGCUGUUCUCCCGAGGCUGUGUCCGCAUCCCUCUGGGUGUGCGGUGCUGGC